AACUUUUGACAACGGAUCUCUUGGCUCUCGCAUCGAUGAAGAACACAGCGAAAUGUGAUAAGUAAUGUGAAUUGCAGAAUCCAGUGAAACAUCGAAUCUUUGAACGCAUCUUGCGCUCCUUGGCAUUCCGAGGAGCAUGCCUGUUUGAGUGUCAUUAAACUAUCAAAACACUUUUUCUCGAGGUGUUUUGGACUUUGGGAGCACUGUGCUGGUCUCUGUUUGAGCCAGCUCUCCUCAAAAGCAUUAACUUUGAGACCAUCAGUGUGAUAAUUUGUUUGCACUGGCUUCUCUUUUUUAACUGCCCCUUUGACCUCAAAUCAGGUAGGACUACCCGCUGAACUUAAGCAUAUCAAUAAGCGGAGGCU
rnacentral:misc_RNA from 1 species